GUGAUAGGUGGGGAGGUAGCGGCACCCUGAAUCUGCAAUCCGCUAUAGCAGAACCGAACGUCUUUCCCGGUGACGGGUAUGGAAGGCUGCGCAGAGUAAGGAAUGUUGAUCAUAAGGUCUUGUGCAACGUACUGCCGCGAACCGUGUCAGGGCAGGGAUGCAGCAGCACUAAACGGAUUUGUGCGUGUGCCACAAGGUAGCUUUGUAGGAGUCACCUGCUUUUGUU
rnacentral:SRP_RNA from 1 species